AGGACAAACGCUGGCGGGGUGCAUGAGACAUGCAAGUCGAACGAGGUGCCAUCGGGCUUGCUCGAUGGUUACCUAGUGGCGGACGGCUGAGUAACGCGUAGGUGACCUACCCGGAAGUGGGGAAUAACUGCCCGAAAGGGUGGCUAAUACCGCAUGUGGUCGGCGAUUCGAUUCGCCGUCCAAAGGAGAAACUCGCUUCCGGCGGGGCCUGCGUCCGAUUAGCUAGUUGGUGGGUAACGGCUCACCAAGGCGACGAUCGGUAGCUGGUCUGAGAGGAUGAUCAGCCAGACUGGGACUGAGAACGGCCCAGACUCCUACGGGAGGCAGCAGUCGGGAAUUUGCCCAAUGGACGAAAGUCUGAGGCAGCAACUCCGCGUGAGGGAUGAAGGCUCUCGGGUCGUAAACCUCUUUUCUCAGGAAGAUCCAAGACGGUACCUGAGAAUAAGCGACGGCUAACGUACGUGCCAGCAACGCCGC
rnacentral:rRNA from 1 species